AUUGAACGCUGGCGGCAUGCCUUACACAUGCAAGUCGAACGGUAACAGGUCUUCGGAUGCUGACGAGUGGCGAACGGGUGAGUAAUACAUCGGAACGUGCCCGAUCGUGGGGGAUAACGAAGCGAAAGCUUUGCUAAUACCGCAUAAGAUCUACGGAUGAAAGCAGGGACCGCAAGGCCUUGCGCGAACGGAGCGGCCGAUGGCAGAUUAGGUAGUUGGUGGGAUAAAAGCUUACCAAGCCGACGAUCUGUAGCUGGUCUGAGAGGACGACCAGCCACACUGGGACUGAGACACGGCCCAGACUCCUACGGGAGCCAGCAGUGGGGAAUUUUGGACAAGGGGCGAAAGCCUGAUCCAGCCAUGCCGCGUGCAGGAUGAAGGCCUUCGGGUUGUAAACUGCUUUUGUACGGAACGAAAAGACUCUGGUUAAUACCUGGGGUCCAUGACGGUACCGGAAGAAUAAGCACCGGCUAACUUCGUGCCAGCCGCCGCGGUAA
rnacentral:rRNA from 1 species